UAACGGGGCUAAACCAUGCACCGAAGCUGCGGCAGCGACGCUUAUGCGUUGUUGGGUAGGGGAGCGUUCUGUAAGCCUGCGAAGGUGUGCUGUGAGGCAUGCUGGAGGUAUCAGAAGUGCGAAUGCUGACAUAAGUAACGAUAAAGCGGGUGAAAAGCCCGCUCGCCGGAAGACCAAGGGUUCCUGUCCAACGUUAAUCGGGGCAGGGUGAGUCGACCCCUAAGGCGAGGCCGAAAGGCGUAGUCGAUGGGAAACAGGUUAAUAUUCCUGUACUUGGUGUUACUGCGAAGGGGGGACGGAGAAGGCUAUGUUGGCCGGGCGACGGUUGUCCCGGUUUAAGCGUGUAGGCUGGUUUUCCAGGCAAAUCCGGAAAAUCAAGGCUGAGGCGUGAUGACGAGGCACUACGGUGCUGAAGCAACAAAUGCCCUGCUUCCAGGAAAAGCCUCUAAGCAUCAGGUAACAUCAAAUCGUACCCCAAACCGACACAGGUGGUCAGGUAGAGAAUACCAAGGCGCUUGAGAGAACUCGGGUGAAGGAACUAGGCAAAAUGGUGCCGUAACUUCGGGAGAAGGCACGCUGAUAUGUAGGUGAAGUCCCUUGCGGAUGGAGCUGAAAUCAGUCGAAGAUACCAGCUGGCUGCAACUGUUUAUUAAAAACACAGCACUGUGCAAACACGAAAGUGGACGUAUACGGUGUGACGCCUGCCCGGUGCCGGAAGGUUAAUUGAUGGGGUCAGCGCAAGCGAAGCUCUUGAUCGAAGCCCCGGUAAACGGCGGCCGUAACUAUAACGGUCCUAAGGUAGCGAAAUUCCUUGUCGGGUAAGUUCCGACCUGCACGAAUGGCGUAAUGAUGGCCAGGCUGUCUCCACCCGAGACUCAGUGAAAUUGAACUCGCUGUGAAGAUGCAGUGUACCCGCGGCAAGACGGAAAGACCCCGUGAACCUUUACUAUAGCUUGACACUGAACAUUGAGCCUUGAUGUGUAGGAUAGGUGGGAGGCUUUGAAGUGUGGACGCCAGUCUGCAUGGAGCCGGCCUUGAAAUACCACCCUUUAAUGUUUGAUGUUCUAACGUGGACCCGUGAUCCGGGUUGCGGACAGUGUCUGGUGGGUAGUUUGACUGGGGCGGUCUCCUCCUAAAGAGUAACGGAGGAGCACGAAGGUUGGCUAAUCCUGGUCGGACAUCAGGAGGUUAGUGCAAUGGCAUAAGCCAGCUUGACUGCGAGCGUGACGGCGCGAGCAGGUGCGAAAGCAGGUCAUAGUGAUCCGGUGGUUCUGAAUGGAAGGGCCAUCGCUCAACGGAUAAAAGGUACUCCGGGGAUAACAGGCUGAUACCGCCCAAGAGUUCAUAUCGACGGCGGUGUUUGGCACCUCGAUGUCGGCUCAUCACAUCCUGGGGCUGAAGUAGGUCCCAAGGGUAUGGCUGUUCGCCAUUUAAAGUGGUACGCGAGCUGGGUUUAGAACGUCGUGAGACAGUUCGGUCCCUAUCUGCCGUGGGCGCUGGAGAACUGAGGGGGGCUGCUCCUAGUACGAGAGGACCGGAGUGGACGCAUCACUGGUGUUCGGGUUGUCAUGCCAAUGGCACUGCCCGGUAGCUAAAUGCGGAAGAGAUAAGUGCUGAAAGCAUCUAAGCACGAAACUUGCCCCGAGAUGAGUUCUCCCUGACCCUUUAAGGGUCCUGAAGGAACGUUGAAGACGACGACGUUGAUAGGCCGGGUGUGUAAGCGCAGCGAUGCGUUGAGCUAACCGGUACUAAUGAAC
rnacentral:rRNA from 1 species